GACAGAGGAUGCAAGCGUUAUCCGGAAUUAUUGGGCGUAAAGAGCUCGUAGGCGGUUUGUCGCGUCUGCCGUGAAAGUCCGGGGCUCAACUCCGGAUCUGCGGUGGGUACGGGCAGACUAGAGUGAUGUAGGGGAGACUGGAAUUCCUGGUGUAGCGGUGAAAUGCGCAGAUAUCAGGAGGAACACCAAUAGCGAAGGCAGCUCGCUGGGACGUUACUGACACUGAGGCGCGAAAGCGUGGGGAGCGAACAGG
rnacentral:rRNA from 1 species